UACAGAGGGGGCUAGCGUUAUUCGGAAUUAUUGGGCGUAAAGGGCGCGUAGGCGGCUUGGCAAGUGGGAGGUGAAAUCCCUCGGCUUAACCGAGGAACUGCCUUCCAGACUGCUUUGCUUGAGGCCGGGAGAGGCGAGUGGAAUUCCCAGUGUAGCGGUGAAAUGCGUAGAUAUUGGGAGGAACACCAGUGGCGAAGGCGGCUCGCUGGACCGGUUCUGACGCUGAGGCGCGAAAGCGUGGGGAGCAAACGGG
rnacentral:rRNA from 1 species